GGGGAAAAGCUCAAAUUUUAAAUCUGCUAGGUUUUACUUAUCAGAAUUGUAAUUUGAAGAAGCGUUUUCCGCGUCUCAGUUGGCCCAAAUCCUUUGGGAUGAGGUAUCAUGGAGGGUGAGAAUCCCGUUCGGCUGACCUUAUGACGUUUUACGAUACGCUUUCUAA
rnacentral:rRNA from 1 species